rnacentral:piRNA from 1 species
UGGUGAAUAUCUUGCACUCUUCUGAAGCAC